rnacentral:rRNA from 1 species
GACGAACGCUGGCGGCGUGCUUAACACAUGCAAGUCGAACGGAAAGGCCCUGCUUUUGUGGGGUGCUCGAGUGGCGAACGGGUGAGUAACACGUGAGUAACCUGCCCUUGACUUUGGGAUAACUUCAGGAAACUGGGGCUAAUACCGGAUAGGAGCUCCUGCUGCAUGGUGGGGGUUGGAAAGUUUCGGCGGUUGGGGAUGGACUCGCGGCUUAUCAGCUUGUUGGUGGGGUAGUGGCUUACCAAGGCUUUGACGGGUCGCCGGCCUGAGAGGGUGACCGGCCACAUUGGGACUGAGAUACGGCCCAGACUCCUACGGGAGGCAGCAGUGGGGAAUAUUGCACAAUGGGCGGAAGCCUGAUGCAGCAACGCCGCGUGCGGGAUGACGGCCUUCGGGUUGUAAACCGCUUUCGCCUGUGACGCAGCGUGAGUGACGGUAAUGGGUAAAGAAGCACCGGCUAACUACGUG